rnacentral:rRNA from 1 species
AAGUCGUAACAAGGUUUCCGUAGGUGAACCUGCGGAAGGAUCAUUAAAGAUUCUGGCCUUGUGCCAAAACCCUUCAGCUGUGCGCCUUUGGCUGCACGCUGUCGAAUCUCACACCCCUGCGCACCUUUUCGGUUGUGGCCCACAACGCUGGGCUGCAUCCGCUUUACAUCGAACCACUCGAGUCUCGAAUGUCAAAUACCGUAACAGUAACAACUUUCAACAACGGAUCUCUUGGCUCUCGCAUCGAUGAAGAACGCAGCGAAAUGCGAUAAGUAAUGUGAAUUGCAGAAUUCAGUGAAUCAUCGAAUCUUUGAACGCACCUUGCGCUCCUCGGUAUUCUGUGGAGCAUGCCUGUUCGAGUGUCACGUUAACCCUCACCUCUGGGAUGUAACAGUCUCUGACCGUGGAUUUGGAUGCCUGCCGUAAAUGGCUCAUCCUGAAAUGCAUUAGCUGGUGCUUGUUAGAGCGCUCGGCAUGGUGUGAUAAUUAUCUGCGCCGUUGCCUUAGGCCUCUUCCACGUGUGCCGCUUAUAGCCGUCCCCCCUGCGGACAAUGACAGUUAAAGCCUUGGCCUCAAAUCAGGUAGGACUACCCGCUGAACUUAA